rnacentral:rRNA from 1 species
UACGGAGGGUGCAAGCGUUAUCCGGAUUCACUGGGUUUAAAGGGUGCGUAGGCGGAUAGGUAAGUCCGUGGUGAAAUCCUGCAGCUUAACUGCAGAACUGCCAUGGAUACUAUCUAUCUUGAAUGUCGUGGAGGUUAGCGGAAUAUGUCAUGUAGCGGUGAAAUGCUUAGAGAUGACAUAGAACACCCAAUUGCGAAGGCAGCUAACUACGCGAUAAUUGACGCUGAUGCACGAAAGCGUGGGGAUCAAACAGG